GAUAGUUUCUUUGCUAGCUUUGCGCUUGGUUGGCUUAUCACAAAUGGUGCCGGACUUGCAUCCUAUCCCAUCGACACUGUCCGCAGAAGGAUGAUGAUGACAUCCGGUGAAGCUGUGAAGUACAAGAGCUCCUUUGAUGCUUUCAACCAGAUCUUGAAGAAUGAGGGAGCGAAGUCGCUGUUCAAGGGUGCAGGUGCGAACAUACUUCGUGCAGUUGCUGGUGCUGGUGUGCUGGCCGGUUACGACAAGCUGCAGCUGAUUGUUUUUGGGAAGAAGUAUGGUUCUGGUGGUGCAUAAGGUAGUCCUUAGAUGGUGAUGAAAAAGUAAGAACUCUUUAUUCAGGAUCUCUUUUGGUUUAGCUUUCGAGAUUCCAAUAACUGUUUUGUGGGAGAUUCUCUCAUUUUUUUUCUGCUGCGGAGCAUUGUCUCCAAAACCUUUUAUUAUCCUAGUAGCUGUUUGUUGUGGAUUUGGUACUGUUAACGUCAGUAUUUAUCAGGCUGUC
rnacentral:misc_RNA from 1 species